CACGUAGGGCGCAAGCGUUGUCCGGAAUUAUUGGGCGUAAAGAGCUCGUAGGUGGUUUGUUACGUCCGCUGUGAAAUCCUAGGGCUUAACCCUGGGCUUGCAGUGGAUACGGGCAGACUAGAGGUAUGCAGGGGAGAACGGAAUUCCUGGUGUAGCGGUGAAAUGCGCAGAUAUCAGGAGGAACACCGGUGGCGAAGGCGGUUCUCUGGGCAUUACCUGACGCUGAGGAGCGAAAGUGUGGGGAGCGAACAGG
rnacentral:rRNA from 1 species